rnacentral:tRNA from 3 species
GAGAAAGUCAUAAUGGUUAUGUGGCUGGCUUGAAACCAGUCUUAGGGGGUUCGAUUCCUUCCUUUCUUG